ACCACGAAAGAACAGGACCCUGUGGAGGACGCUUGGAGCCCAACAUCUACUACGACGCUCCCUUUUCAUAUAAAGCUAUUGUACAAGAUAUGUGGGCCACCACCCUGGUCAGGAUAGCGAAGGAGGAUGUAUGUGAUAUCAAACAUCUUGAACAGUGCUACCAACAUCUCAUCCCUGCAUAUAAGGAGGACUUGAAUAGAAGCCUAUGCCACACAACGAGAGACACGAAAAACGCGCCUACAUUUUCAGGAGUAGUGGGAUUCCGCAUAGAUGAAUUCUGUAAGACGAGCGCUACUAUGUAUGGAAGGAGAGCGGUAAGCAUCA